rnacentral:tRNA from 1 species
GGGGCUGUAGCUAAGUGGUAGAGCACUCGCCUCGCAGGUGUGAGACCCUGGGUUUGAUCCUCAGCACCACA